rnacentral:tRNA from 1 species
GGUGACAUGCUAGAGGGGUCCAAUAGAACGGUUUGCAAAACCGUACCGCCGGCGGUUCAAAUCCGCCUGUCACCUCCA